rnacentral:misc_RNA from 1 species
GUCGAACCAAUAGGCCGAGGACUAUUAUUUUGAUAGGUAACCUCUUCAAACCGACCAUGUGUAGCAGCACAUCCAUUGCAUUCUGCUAGCUGCAAAUUCUGAGCAACUGGAUUUUUAGAUAGGAAAUUCAUGAACGAACCGACAGAGGAAUUGUUGGACGAACAGUUGUGACAGAAGCUAGAAUUUGCAAAGCGAGGGGUUUCUACGAUUCCUGGCCCUGGCUUCCAAUCGGGUUCUAAUUUGG